rnacentral:misc_RNA from 1 species
ACCCACCGCACCCUUUCAUCAGCCUGCCUGUCCACUGUUGGCUUGGUGACUUCCUCCGCUCCGCUCCGCUCCCCUCCGCUCCCGAACGGUCGAUCUUUGCAUGGCAGCAGCAGCUGGCUCCAAGGGGCGGGCGAUCGCUGGAAGCUUCGUCAGCCGCGUCCUCGCCGGCAAGGCCGCCUCGCCGAGGAGGGCCGUGCACGCCUCGGCGUACGACAAGAACCUGGAGGACCAGGUGCGCCCGGCGUUCGUGCCGGACGAUGUGAUCGGCAGCGCCGGGAGCCCCGACAAGUACUGGAGCCCCCACCCCAAGACCGGCGUCUUCGGCCCGGCGGCGGUGGACCCCAAGCUGGCCGCUGGUGGCGCGCCGGACGCCGGCGCGGAUGCUGCAGGAGGCACGGUGCUGGACCAGAAGGUGUGGUUCCGCCCGCUCGAGGACGUCGAGAAGCCGCCCCCCGCCGCGUGAGCCGCGCGGCGCUGCUAGGCCAGCCCACACUGCUGCUCGCUCAUAAAAAGGGCGGCGGGAGAGCCUGGCAGUGGCAGGCACUCUGCUCGUGCUCGGCCGGGCUGGGCUCCCUGCUUAUAUCACUGCAAUAUUAUACUACUAGUAGUGGUGCUUGAUAGCAGUGUGUGGCUGUGCUAAUACCAGUAUAAUACUGGUUCUACUAUAAUACAGUCGUAUCAGGCAUGGCGUGCAUCAGGACUGGUUGUGAUAGUAGCAACGUGAUGCUCGUGCCUGUAAUAAGAACAAGCAGGCGAUGUGUGCCUGUGAUGUACCGGUGUCGUCAGUGUUAUAAGUACUUGGGUC